rnacentral:lncRNA from 1 species
AGGGACAGGAUUUGUACAAUUGCUUGUUUCUCAAAAUCCUGGUCAGAAUCGUGUCCAAGAAAACCUGCGUACCUGAAAAAGAAAUAAAAAAACAGAAUUAAAAGUUUUGAUCUCGAAAAAUAAAAUAAAAACAAAAUUAAAAGUUUUGACUAAAAUUUUAAAAAUUAAAAAUAAUAUAAAUAAAUAAAGUUGAGGAAAAUGUGUUCUUAUAGAGAGAUUUCAGCCUCCGAUUGUCUCGAUCCGUCUUGGGUUCAAUUCUCGACUUUUAAGUGAUCCUUCUCAAACAAAAUAAGCAAGUUAUAAUGGAAGAGGACACCUACGACCACUAACUCCAAGAAUUUAGACUUACAAUUUGGCGGAACCUGACUUUAACUAAUAAUUGCUUCUGUGGGAUUAUCUUAUGCUAGAUCAUCACUUCUCAAUGGCGAAUCUCAUGCCAUUUUGUCUCUUGAGCUCGCCAACCUCUGACGCAGUAAGCUAACGAACCAACUGUGCAACCUUCCCAAAACAUACAAAACGGCCACCUUUGCACACGUUGAAAAGUUCACCUUUGAAGGAAUAUGGACGGAAGCAUCAGCCCCGUAAUGCGAAGAAGCAAUAAAUAUUUGUUGAGAAGGCUAAGUAUGGAUACUAAGCCUCAUGAACCCUUUUUGGAAAAUUUUGAUAACCUUCAGCUAGAUAGAUUUAGUGACUUAUGAUUUUUAGGGAAAAACAAAUAAAAAUAAUAGAAAGGGAAUUUUUUAUUGAAAUAUGAAAAGAACAAAAAGGCUAAAUUUAUGGGGGAGAAAGUGUUACAGCAAAAUAUGGAUGGAAUUUGUGUCACUUCAUCCCCUAUUUAUAGUACUAAGAAACCUAGCCUAUUCUUAAUUAAAUUCUAAAAGAUAAAUACAAAUAAAUAAAGAUAAUUAAAGUUAAUUAAAGGUAAAUGAAAAUAAAUCCUAAAAUUAAAUCAAAAUAAUAAUCCUUAAUAAUUAUCCUAAUAUAAUUAAACAUUAAAUAGAGUCUCGUGCUGUAAAAUCUCUUAUUUUGCACUUUUGCCCUUUAUGUCUUUCAUACUUGCAUUUUUGGCACCACCUUUUUCCCUAUGUCGCAUGUUGGCCCAUUGUAUCUUCAAAUUUGCACUUUUUGCCCUUAAAAUUUCUUUUGCCUCCAAUUUAGUCCGUGAAAGAUAAAAGACCAUAAAUAUCUCAAAUUAGUAAGGUCAUACACAAAAUAAACAUGCAAUUAGCACAAAAAAUAUGUCGUUCUAGAGUAUUAUCAGAUGGCUACUUAUACAGAAGAGGAAAUUGUUGAAACGUUGAAAGGAAUGGGGCCUACAAAAGCUUUAGGUCCAGAUAGUUUUCCGACAGUAUUUUACCAAUAGUAUUGACAUAUUAUUGGUAAAAAUACUAGAGUUUUCUAUUUGGAUAUUUUGAAUAAUGGCAAAUCUUUAAAAGAAAUAAACAGAACUCAGUUGGUUUUAAUUCCAAAAAUUGAAAAUCCUCUCAAUUUGAAAAAUUUUCGUCCUAUUAGCCUCUGUACGGUUAUCUAUAAGAUUAUUUCCAAGUCAGUUUCUAACCGUUUACAAAAGGUACUAGAUAUCUAUAUUAAUGACUUUCAAAGUGCUUUUGUGCUGGUAGGCUUAUAACUGACAAUGUGUUGUUGGCGUAUGAGGUACUUCACUCUUUCAAGAACAAAAGAUCAGGGAAAAAAUUAUUUAUGGCUCUAAAGCUGGGUAUGAGCAAGGCUUAAGAUCAAGUGGACUAGCAUUUUCUUAAAAGUAUGAUGUCAAAAUUGGGCUUUGUCGAUCCAUUUAUUUAUUUUAUAUUUCACUGUAUUAUUCGGUCCAUUAUUCAAUUUUACUUAAUUGUGAAGAAGGUUUUAGUUUCAAUCCAUUAAGAGGGCUACGUCAAGGGGAUCCUUUAAGCCCUUACUUAUUUCUGUUCUGUGGAGAAGGGGAUCCUUUAAGCCCUUACUUAUUUCUGUUCUGUGGAGAGGGUUUAUCUGCACUGAUGAGACUUGCAAGCCAGGAAAGGAAAAUUUUAGGAGCAAAGGUAUGUAAAUCUUCCCCACCAAUAACCCACUUCAUGUUUGUAGAUGAUUGUAUACUGUUUGUAAAGGUUUCAGAUAGGGAGAUUAAUGUGAUUAGAGAUAUUCUAAGAGAAUAUGAAUUUUGCUCGGGCCAAUGUGUAAACUUUGAAAAAUCCACGAUUUUUUUUUUCAAUUUGAAUGUGGAUGAUUAGGAUAAGAACUUGGCUUUCCAAGUACUUAAUGUUCGCUGUUUGAUUGAUCUAGAGAAAUAUUUGGGGUUACCGAAUAAGGUGGGUCAAAGAAGGAAAAUGGCUUUCCAAGCCUUGAAGGACAGAUUGAAGCAGAAGAUUAAUAGCUGGAAUAUAAGAUAUAUCUCAUAAUGUGGCAAAGAGGUAUUUAUUAAAGCCGUUUUACAAGCAAUUCCUACAUACACGAUGUCUUAUUUUCUUUUGCCAAAAACUUUUUGUGUGGAGACAGAAUAUAAUAGGGCCCUUUUGGUGGAAAAAAAUCAAGGGAAGAGAGGAAUGCAUUGGUGUGACUAGAAGUCGUUAUGUGCGCUUAAGAAAGAGAGUGGUAUGGGGUUUCGUAAUUUGAAUUUUUUUAAUAUUGCAUUACUGGCCAAAAAGGGUUGGCAUUUGUUACAUAAUCCUAAUUCAUUACUAGCGCGUACUUUGAAGGCCAAGUAUUUUAAGGAUUUAGAUUUUUUAAACUCCAGGUUAGAAAAUUUACCUUCUCUUACCUGGCAGAGUUUAUGGACUGCAAAAGGGCUCCUUCUGAAAGGUUUGGGUUAGAGAAUUGGCAAUGGGAAGAAUGUCUCUAUCUGGGGGGAUGCAUGGGUUCCUAGAGGUUAUGAUUUCAGAGUUCAUAACUUGAAUACUAAUUGGAGUAUAUCAACAGUUGCAGAUUUAAUUGAUGGCAAUACAGGAGAAUAAAAAACCGAACUGAUCUAUAAUACCUUUUUGGAGAAGGAUGCAGAGAGGAUCUUAUGUAUUCCUUUGUUUAUGAAUCUACAUGAGGACCAUUUAAUCUGGCGCGGUAAGCCGACGGGGGAGUAUACGAUUUGUAGCGGGCACAAAUUUCUUUUACGUGAUAGACAGAAUCAAAUACAAUCUAACUACAGACAAUUUUACAAAAGAUUGUGGAGCUUAGAUUUACCCUCAAAAAUUAAAGUUACAAACUGGAGGUUAUCUUGUAACAGUUUGCCUACUUUCUGUAAUAUGCAUUUUAGAAGACUGCUGGGAUCCGCAACUUGUCGAAGGUGUCAGAAUGGAGCGGAAACGAGAGAGCAUUUGUUCAGGGAGGCAAAGGAGACAUGGGAGAAGUUAGUUGUUACCUGGCCUAUUACAGAGGAAAAUACAUAUUUCAAAGGAUGGUUUAAAAAUAUUUUUUAGUCAAACUCUCUGGUUAAGUGCAGGAUGAUAACAUGUGCUUUGUGGGCAAUUUGGACAUCAAGAAACAGAUUCAUUCAUAAAGGAGAAAUAAAAUCGAGUUCUCAAAUUAUAGAUUUGGCGAGUAACUACCUAAAAGAAUUGGAUGGGUUGAAUACAAACUUACCUGCGAGAUAGUUUCAUAUGGGUAGAUGGGUCGCUCCGAAUGGUUUGAGGUUAAAAAUCAAUUUUCAUGCGGCGUUCAACAAGCAAAAAAAUGAGUCAUGCUCUGGGUUAGUGGUACGAAACGAAAAAGCAGAAGUGAUUUGUACAAAAACAGUUAUGCAUGUGAAUAACCAUCUGUUUUUGUAGCAGAAGCGAUGGCGUGUUUUUAGGAGCUCAAUCUUGAGUUAUAUCGCGGGCUGAGGGAGGUUGAGAUUGAAGGUGACUCCCGUUCAGUGAUCCAGAAACUGCAAGAGGAGAAAGAAGAUAGAUUAGAAAUUGAAGUUUUUAUAAAAGAUUCAAAGCAACUGAAUUUAGGUUUUCAGUUAUGCGUUUUUAGGUUUAUUCAUAAAGAAUCUUACAAGGUUGCUCAUCUCAUAGCUAAAGAGAGACUCCAAAAGAGAGAGAUUCUAAAAGAGAGAGACAACUUAUUUGUUGAAUAUCGUUACUUCUGGUGUGGAGGAAGCGGUGGUCGCUGAUCGAAGUUGGACGGUUUCCAUGAGGGAAUGAACCGUCUGGAUUGCUGAAGGAAAGUUUUGGAAAGGGGUUUGAAGAGUUAGGGGGUGUGGUGUUUUUCAAAGAUAUUUUCUGUGGGAAGUGAUAGCUGCUGUUGAAAAUUAAUGAAGAGUAAUGAUGAAGUCUAUGCGGCUUCCUAGGUGCUUUGUUGCUUUUGAGGAAAGGGGUUUUAAUAGAUAACAGCUAGUUGACGAUGGCUCUAGAGCGUCCACUUCUGCAAGUUGGAUCAUUGUGUUUGGGUUGUUUUAAUUUUGUUUUUGUUUUCUUUCUUUUUGGUUUUUGGGCCUGUUUCUAGGUUGAUUAACUGCUAAUGUUUGC